GAUUAAUAUGCGGAACCUUGGCAAGGCAGAAACGAUUCUCAGUUAUGUUUCCCACUCCAGGAGAAUGUGACUUCCUGUUUGAAAUGGAGGAGGGCUUUGUCCCAACACAUGAUGAUCUUCACAGGCUGACAUUCUGGUCUCUUCAUUACACAGGAGUGACGCCUGAAGCUGAAGCGAUUAACACAAUGUUACACGACCGAAAGCUGAGGCAAGGGGCCAAUGUGGAGCCAUGAUUUGGAGCUGCUGGUUCCCAAGAGAGGAAUGCUUCCUCCAGGAGACACUGCAAUGGUUUUACUGAACUAGAAGUUGAGAUUGCCCCUUGGCUAUUUUAGACUACCAAUGCCACAGAAACAAAAGGCAAAGAAGGCAAUUACCCUGCUGACUGGGGUGAAUGAUCCCAAUUUCCACAGGGAAACUGGACUGCUGCCAUUGCUGCCAUACAACAGGGGCAGAGAAGAGUAUGCCUGACACCUGGAGAGUCUCUAGAGUGCCUCUUGGUACUUCCAUGUCCAAGAGUAAAAAUCAGUGGAAAACUAAAGCAACUAACAGACACACAGAGAGAAUCACUGAGGAUUGAGAUACCUAGGUUAUUCCACCAGGUAAUAAAUAAACCUCUGCCACAGAAGGUGCUGGCUGAGGGCAAAAGCCAAGUCCCAGCAGUCACGGUUUCCAUAUUGAAGCAAUGUUAAUUCCUCCUCUCAUUCCACCAAUCCCAGAUAAAUAUUCUAUAUCCUACAGACUGAACCAGGAAAAUAAUUCAUGCCACCCAGAGACAGACACCAUGCCAACUGGGACAUUUUGUCUUCCCUUAAGAGUGUGAAUACUGCAUGAAGCAUAGACACAUCAUAGGCAGAAACAAAGCUGUCCUGCUGUUGUGCCAAGUUGAAAAUGUGCAGGAGGAUAUGUGAAUGCUGAGAAUCUGAAGGGUUGGACUGUGCUGGUCAUUUAGUUGCCGUCUUUCUGAUCCAAGUCUGACCUGUGUGGUGGGGCAAGGACUGUGCAAACUGCAUCCUCGCUUUGCCAGUUGAAUUUCUAUUGGGUUCUGCCAGUAGGGGCUCAAGAUGGAGAAGGCAGAGGGGAACCUUAAAGUCAAUAUACCUUUACAGAAAGCGGG